rnacentral:rRNA from 1 species
AAGUUUUGGCAAUGGGGGAAACCCCGAUCCAGCCAUACGGCGCGUAUGAUGGAGGCCUUCGUGUGGUAGAGUACUUUUCGCAGAGAGGAAAAGGUAUCGCCUAAUCCUGGAGACAGCUGCCGGUAGCUGCAGAAUAAGCACCGGCUAAGUACGUGCCAGCGGCCGCGGUAAUACGUAGGGUGCAAGCGUUAAUCGGAAUUACUGGGCGUAAAGCGUGUGUAGGCGGUUCGGAAAGAAAGAUGUGAGAUCGCAGGGCUUAACCUUGGAACUGCAUUUUUAACUGCCGAGCUAGAGUAUGUCAGAGGGGGGUAGAAUUCGACGUGUAGCAGUGAAAUGCGUAGAUAUGUGGAGGAAUACCGAUGGCGAAGGCAGCCCCCUGGGAUAAUACUGACGCUCAGACACGAAAGCGUGGGGAGCAAACAGG